rnacentral:rRNA from 1 species
UACGUAGGUGGCAAGCGUUGUCCGGAAUUAUUGGGCGUAAAGCGCGCGCAGGCGGUCCUUUAAGUCUGAUUGGAAAGCCCACGGCUCAACCGUGGAGGGUCAUUGGAAACUGGGGGACUUGAGUGCAGGAGAGAAGAGUGGAAUUCCACGUGUAGCGGUGAAAUGCGUAGAUAUGUGGAGGAACACCAGUGGCGAAGGCGACUCUUUGGCCUGUAACUGACGCUGAGGCGCGAAAGCGUGGGGAGCGAACAGG